rnacentral:tRNA from 1 species
GGGUGGAUAGCUCAGCUGGGAGAGCAUCGCCCUUACAAGGCGAGGGUCGGGGGUUCGAUCCCCUCUCCACCCACCA